GGUGAGUAACGCGUGGGUAACCUGCCUUGUACUGGGGGAGUAGCAGCUGGAAACGGCUGGUAAUACCGCAUAAGCGCACAAUGUUGCAUGACAUGGUGUGAAAAACUCCGGUGGUAUAAGAUGGACCCGCGUCUGAUUAGCUAGUUGGUGAGAUAACAGCCCACCAAGGCGACGAUCAGUAGCCGACCUGAGAGGGUGACCGGCCACAUUGGGACUGAGACACGGCCCAGACUCCUACGGAGGCAGCAUG
rnacentral:rRNA from 1 species